UAUCCUUUGGAGUUUUCUCUAUAGCUGCUGGUUUCCAUUUAAGUGGCCUGGAAUCUAAACUUCUCUAUUUAUCCACAGCACAGACAGUGGCAACAGGGACCCCUGCCUCAUUCAGGGCCAAGGAUGGAUGGUUCUCUUAAUGAGCAGUGGUCUCAGUGCCAAUUGAUGGGACGGGACACCGCACCCAGAAGUGAAAAAUGAAGAUUCAACAACACUGAGACAUUUUGCAGAGUCCUGUCAGUUUCACCAAAUUGUUCAUGUUGAGAACAAGCAGAGAAAAAUAUUCAAAAAGUCAAAAUGUGUAAUUUUGAAAUGUUUCAGUUUUCUGGUUCAAAUGACUUUUGGUGUAGACAUU